rnacentral:rRNA from 1 species
AUGGGUCAAUGCAAUGCAGCAGAUCAGGAUGAACUGGAGACAUUAAUGGAUGUGAAGAGGAGAACAAAGAUUGCCAAAAUUAGGAAACAUAAGAUUGCAGCUGAGCAUGUAAAUAAGGCUAAGCAGAAGCUACCAAUUCUUCUAACUGAAGACGAUUCGGAUCUGGAUGCAGAUGAGUACUAUCUUCAGAGGCUUAAUGAGAUGAAGAGGCAAAGAGAGGAUCCACUCAUUCAUUUUGAUGGAGACAUUGAUGUGGAUGAAGUGUAUGAGGAAGAUGAGGAAGGGCAGCAUGUGGAGGUGGAGCAAGAGGAGCAGGUGGAGCAAGAUGAGCAGGUGGAGCAGCAAGAGGAGCCUACAAAGAAGAAGAAAGCUAGAAAAGGGCCAACACAGAGGAAUAUGAUGAUGGAGCUGAGGAACUACAUUUUGUUAUGCCCAAUGGAAGGAAGAGCAGAUCAGUGA